rnacentral:rRNA from 1 species
CACCGGCGGCUCGAGUGGUAGCCACUCUUAUUGGGCCUAAAGCGUCCGUAGCCGGCUUGGCAAGUCCCCUGGGAAAUCUGGCGGCUUAACCGUCAGGCGUCCAGAGGAUACUGCCAGGCUUGGGACCGGGAGAGGUGAGAGGUACCUCAGGGGUAGGGGUGAAAUCUUGUGAUCCCUGAGGGACCACCAGUGGCGAAGGCGUCUCACUAGAACGGGUCCGACGGUCAGGGACGAAAGCUGGGGGCACGAACCGG